rnacentral:rRNA from 1 species
GAUGCGACCUCAGCUCAGGCGGGGCUACCCGCUGAGUUUAAGCAUAUCAAUAAGCGAGAAAAGAAAAACUAACAGGGAUUCCCUUAU